AACGCGAAGAACCUUACCUGGGCUUGAACCGCCGGCGACCAGCAGUGGAAACAUUGCCUUCCCGCAAGGGACGCCGGUAGAGGUGCUGCAUGGCUGUCGUCAGCUCGUGCCGUGAGGUGUUGGGUUAAGUCCCGCAACGAGCGCAACCCUUACUCUUAGUUGCCACCCGCAAGGGGGAACUCUAAGAGGACUGCUCCGGAUAACGGAGAGGAAGGUGGGGAUGACGUCAAGUCAGCACGGCCUUUAUGUCCAGGGCUACACACGUGUUACAAUGCAUGGUACAGACCGUCGCGAACCCGCGAGGGGGAGCUAAUCGGAAAAACCAUGCUCAGUUCGGACUGCAGUCUGCAACUCGACUGCACGAAGCCGGAAUCGCUAGUAAUGCCGUAUCAGAACGACGGCGUGAAUACGUUCCCGGGCCUUGUACACACCGAUAGC
rnacentral:rRNA from 1 species